CCUGUAGCUCAACUGGAUAGAGCAUCAGACUACGAAUCUGAGGGUUGUAGGUUCGACUCCUGUCAGG
rnacentral:tRNA from 2 species